rnacentral:rRNA from 1 species
ACGGGUGAGUAAUGUCUGGGAAACUGCCUGAUGGAGGGGGAUAACUACUGGAAACGGUAGCUAAUACCGCAUAAUGUCGCAAGACCAAANAGGGGGACCUUCGGGCCUCUUGCCAUCGGAUGUGCCCAGAUGGGAUUAGCUAGUAGGUGGGGUAACGGCUCACCUAGGCGACGAUCCCUAGCUGGUCUGAGAGGAUGACCAGCCACACUGGAACUGAGACACGGUCCAGACUCCUACGGGAGGCAGCAUG